CAGAACCUCCACCUGUGAAAGCACCAGAAGCUCCACAAGAAGUUCCCUCUCAAAAGAAAAUAUGUGUGACUGUUCCUAUCAAAACAGAAAACCCUCCUAUUAAAAGUGUUCAUUCAACAAAUACUUCAUAAGGAGGAUCUACAGGGUCAUAGGACAUCCACUAGUUGCUGGAGAAGGUGCCAGAAGCUGCUCAAGAAGGUGUUCCUGCAAAAAGAGUU